UGUUCCAAGGAUUGGAUCAGAAAUGAAGACCUGUGUUAUUUCAUUUCCUCCUUUGAAAGUUCUUACCAGGGGGCGAAGCAACUCUGUUCUGUCGCUGAUUCAAAACUUCUUCAAAGAGAUUCAGGGGAGAAAGAGAAUUUUGUUAACAACCGUGUCCGCGGCCAAGACGGUUCAUACUGGAUUGGAACAUGCAAAGAGGGGGAAGUGGCGUCUAACGUCGUGUACAAGGUGAACGCUGGGAAGUUCGAAUGCGGUGAAUGCAAAUCUCGUUGGCCUUGGGAUUGUAAAAAUGAUGAGCACCGUUUCAUCUGUGAGAAGUCUGCACCUUUGUUCCGGGAUAUUCCUGAAAAGAUCCGGGAUCUUUGUCAAAAGCCCGUGGAGCUGACAUAAAUGAAGUGACAUUAUUCUCUGACCACAAUUCCAGCUCACUCUCCGACUGUGACAAGCGAAUCGGUUCUGCCCCUUGCCCCUACCCUAGAUUCCUUUCUCUACCUAUGGCAUUCUUUUUCACCAUCUCGCUCUCUCUUUACACUCCUACCUCUAAUCUCUCUCUCUCCCUCUUUUCUUCCCAUCCAUCUCCCCAUAUUUCAUCCCCAUUUUCCUUCCCGUCACUUUCCUGCCUCCCGCUCCCAGCAUCAAAGGACUGUAUCGCAUAUCCGUAACUUAUCCGCCCUGAGCUUUGUAUCUUUGUAUGAUCAA